rnacentral:snoRNA from 1 species
ACGACCUUACUUGAACAGGAUCUGUUCUAUAGGCUCGUACCUCUGUAUCCUUGAGUUCUAAGGAGACAGGAAACUAAGCCUGGUGGAUGAAGUAUGGCCAAGAGACUAGAGCGUGAUUAACGGCUCCAGACCUUCACUGAGCUGAGCUGUAGAGGAUCGUUCUCAGCCAUGGGUUCAUGGUUGGGAUGGUCUCUUGGCUGUCUGACAGGCU